rnacentral:lncRNA from 1 species
UUUAAGUAUUUCAUAAAAAGAGCUAUUCAUGUAAUGUUCACCAAACAUUGUAGCUUCACAAUACUUUGUUAUAUUUUCUGUCCUAUCUAAUAGAAUGGGAAAGACACAAGGAAGAAGUUGAUUAAACAAAUUAAAGAAAAAAGGUUUGCAAUCUACAAAAUUAGAGUUCUUCACAAAAUUAGAGUUCAUUACAAAAAGAUAUAGUAGAUAUUUUCUAAAUAAAUAGAU